GAUGAACGCUAGCUACAGGCUUAACACAUGCAAGUCGAGGGGUAACAAGAGAAAAGCUUGCUUUUCUUGUUGACGACCGGCGCACGGGUGAGUAACGCGUAUCCAACCUGACCAUAACUAGGGAAUAACCUUGCGAAAGUAAGACUAAUACCCUAUAAUUUCCUUUGACGGCAUCUGACGAGGAAUAAAGAUUUAUCGGUUAUGGUUGGGGAUGCGUCUGAUUAGCUUGUUGGCGGGGUAACGGCCCACCAAGGCAACGAUCAGUAGGGGUUCUGAGAGGAAGGUCCCCCACAUUGGAAAUGAGACACGGUCCAAACUCCUACGGGAGGCAGCAGUGAGGAAUAUUGGUCAAUGGGCGGAAGCCUGAACCAGCCAAGUAGCGUGCAGGAUGACGGCCCUAUGGGUUGUAAACUGCUUUUAUACAGGAAUAAAGUUAGCCACGUGUGGUUAUUUGUAGGUACUGUAUGAAUAAGGACCGGCUGAUUCCGUGCCAGCAGCCGCCGUAA
rnacentral:rRNA from 1 species